rnacentral:lncRNA from 1 species
AGACAGAGGCUGAGUAAGAAUUUCGCUGUAGGCAAUGGCUUGGAGUUAAGACCUUCCAGGCUGCAGGAAAUGGAGAAAGGCCUCAAGGGAGAGACGUUCCCACCCUGAAGCGCCAGUCCUGGAUGGAGCCCGAGAACUUCUCAGUCUGCGGCCAGGGACAGAGACCAGAGGAGGACUCCAUGAAGCUGUGGGAUUUGAAGAGGGACAGAGGAGCACUGGAGCCAGGAAAUGUCAUUGUCUGGAGCCGUCCACCCUGAUGUCAUCAUCCUAUUGUAUGGAGACCGAUGAGUUGUGCAGGUUGCAAGCCAUGCUUCCUGGUUCCGCUUCUCAGGUCACCUAACAUCUAGAAAAGUCUGUCCCACCCUCUCCCCUGAUCUUCUGUUACACGGUAUAUAGGGUCAGGGUAAGGCUUGAUCCCUAGUUAGUCUUCUGUUCGUUAAGAAGCCCCCAAAGCCAUGUUCCUGUUUACCCCGAAUAACCACAGCACUUUCUGCCGGGAAAGCCUUGCCUGGCUUCUCCAUUUGCUUUGUAGGAAGGGCACACAGGGACUUAUCUCGCAGUGCCUGGGAGCUCUUCAGCUCCCUUCGGGUGGGGUUACUCUGUUCUGCUCGUGUUUGCCGGGUUGUUUCUUUCUUCUUCACAACCUCAUUUACCACAGAGCCGAUUCCAGCUUACAAGUACGGCUGGAGCAGCUUGACAGAACAAACCCAAUCAUCUUGCUUUGCUUUUGCUCUCAGCAAAAAAUAAAAAUUUAGUCACUGGGGAUGUAGCUUAGGGAUAGACCACUUACUUAGCAUGUGCUACGGUCUGGCUUCAAUUCCCAGCACUGCAAAGUAACAACAAUAACACAAAUAAAUAAAAGUAUGCUAUAGUACA